rnacentral:lncRNA from 1 species
AGAAUAGGGACAAGUGCAGUGUGGAAAGACUAGCCCUCAAGUGUCCAAGUUUAGAGGGAGCUCAAUGGAUCCCAAGGCAAGGCUCACAAGAGGUGGGAAGAAUUUAAGUCUAAGAGAGAGUUCAAGUGAAGAAAUAGAGUUCUAAUGGAAUAAUGGAGAGGGAAACAACAACAAAAUAUUUGAUAAUUUCAUACAAAAGGGGUUUAGAGAGGUUGGGAAGUUACAAAGAGCCUAUGCUUUGGGCAUACACAGAAAUAGAAAAUGCUGGCAUGCCUAUAGCCCUACCUGAGCACAUAAUAGCAGAGAAACAUAGAGGUUAGGGCCCCUGGGAUCAAGCUUGAGUCAUGGGUAGUAAUAUUUAGUACAGUCAUGCCUCAAACAAACUAUAACAUCGAACACAUUGGAGUGGGGGUUUAGAAUUCAUAAUAAAUUCAGAAUAGGCAGAAGGAAAUUAUAGCAUGCUAAAAUAAGUACUGAACUAAACACAAACAACAGAAAAGAAGGCAAAAGCAUUAAAUAAAUACAUUUUUGUGAUGAUGGAAUCUUAAUAAGAAUAUACCAGUUCAGAGAAGAAAAAUACAGAAAAAGUAGGUAACAAGACUUUGAAGGUAGGCCACAAUACAAGCAACAAGAAAGAAUAUUUUUUUGAGUGUGAAUGUGAGUUCAGAAACUAUGAGUGUUCGUUUGUUCUGUGUUAAUGAAAGAGCAGAGUAUUUAUAGUUUGAAAACAUGUAGAAAAUAAGGAAAUAAUCAUAAUUUAGCAGUAUUUAUGGUAGUAGGUACUAAUGAAAAUCAAUCAGUAUAAGAACUUCAUUUAAUUAAGGAGUUA